rnacentral:rRNA from 1 species
UACGUAGGGUCCGAGCGUUGUCCGGAAUUACUGGGCGUAAAGAGCUCGUAGGUGGUUUGUCGCGUUGUUCGUGAAAACUCACAGCUUAACUGUGGGCGUGCGGGCGAUACGGGCAGACUGGAGUACUGCAGGGGAGACUGGAAGUUCCUGGUGUAGCGGUGGAAUGCGCAGAUAUCGAGGAGGAACACCGGUGGCGAAGGCGGGUCUCUGGGCAGUAACUGACGGCUGGAGGAAGCGAAAGCGUGGGGAGCGAACAGG